ensembl:snRNA U1 spliceosomal RNA
AUACUUAACUGGCAGGGGAGAUACCAUGAUCACAAAGGUGCUUUUCCCAGGGCGAGGCUCAUCCAUUGCACUCUGGGUGUGCUGACCCCUGUGAUUUCCCCAAAUGCAGGAAAUUUGUGGUAUAAUUUGUGGUAAAUUUGUGGUAUAAUAACUGCAUAAUGGC